rnacentral:rRNA from 1 species
GCAGUAUCGAAGCUAACGCGNUAAGUUCGCCGCCUUGGGGAGUACGGUCGCAAGACUGNAACUCCAAAGGNAUUGNNGGGGGGCCGCACAAGCGGUGGAGUAUGUGGUUUAAUUCGAUGCNACGCGAAGAACCUUACCUGGUCUUUGACAUCCACGGAACUUUCCAGAGAUGGAUUGGUGCCUUCGGGAACCGUGAGACAGGUGCUGCAUGGCUGUCGUCAGCUCGUGUCGUGAGAUGUUGGGUUAAGUCCCGCAACGGGCGCAACCCUUGUCCUUAGUUGCCAGCACGUAAUGGUGGGAACUNUAAGGAGACCGCCGGUGACAAACCGGAGGAAGGUGGGGAUGACGUCAAGUNAUCAUGGCCCUUACGACCAAGGGCUACACACGUACUACAAUGGUGAGGNNAGAGGNNUGCAAGCUCGCGAGAGUAAGCUAAUCCCAGAAACCUCAUCNNAGGUCCGGAUUGGAGNNUGCAACUCGANNUCCAUGAANUCGGAAUCGCUAGUAAUCGCAAGAACAG